rnacentral:rRNA from 2 species
UACGGAGGGAGCUAGCGUUGUUCGGAAUUACUGGGCGUAAAGCGCACGUAGGCGGCUUUGUAAGUUAGAGGUGAAAGCCCGGAGCUCAACUCCGGAAUUGCCUUUAAGACUGCAUCGCUCGAAUCCAGGAGAGGUGAGUGGAAUUCCGAGUGUAGAGGUGAAAUUCGUAGAUAUUCGGAAGAACACCAGUGGCGAAGGCGGCUCACUGGACUGGUAUUGACGCUGAGGUGCGAAAGCGUGGGGAGCAAACAG